rnacentral:rRNA from 1 species
AUUGAACGCUGGCGGCAGGCCUAACACAUGCAAGUCGAGCGAGCGGCGGACGGGUGUGUAAUGUCUGGGAAACUCCCUGAUGGAGGGGGAUAACUACUGGAAAAGGUAUCUAAUAUCGCCUACCCUCACAUGUGCCCAGAUGGGAUUAGCUAGUAGGUGGGGUAAUGGCUCCCCAAGGCGACGAUCCCUCUCUGGUCUGAGAGGAUGACCAGCCACACUGGAACUGAGACACGGGCCAGACUCCUACGGGAGGCAGCAGUGGGGAAUAUUGCACAAUGGGCGCAAGCCUGAUGCAGCCAUGCCGCGUGUGUGAAGAAGGCCUUCGGGUUGUAAAGCACUUUCAGCGGGGAGGCGUGACCCGCAGAAGAAGCACCGGCUAACUCCGUGCCAGCCGCCGCGGUAAUUC